rnacentral:rRNA from 1 species
AACGAACGCUGGCGGCAUGCCUAACACAUGCCAGUCGAACGAGACCUUCGGGUCUAGUGGCGCACGGGUGCGUAACGCGUGGUAACCUGCCCUUAGAUUCGGAAUAACUCCCCGAAAGGGGUGCUAAUACCGGAUAAUGUCUUCGGACCAAAGAUUUAUCGCCUUUGGAUGGGCCCGCGUUGGAUUAGCUAGUUGGUAGGGUAAAAGCCUACCAAGGCGACGAUCCAUAGCUGGUCUGAGAGGAUGAUCAGCCACACUGGGACUGAGACACGGCCCAGACUCCUACGGGAGGCAGCAGUGGGGAAUAUUGGACGAGGGGCGAAAGCCUGAUCCAGCAAUGCCGCGUGAGUGAUGAAGGCCUUAGGGUUGUAAAGCUCUUUUACCCGGGAUGAUAAUGACAGUACCGGGAGAAUAAGCUCCGGCUAACUCCGUG